AGCGAACGUUAGCGGCGGGCCUAACACAUGCAAGUCGAACGCGAAAGGUCUUCGGACUGAGUAGAGUGGCGCACGGGUGAGUAACACGUAGGUAAUCUACCCUUUGGCGGGGGAUAACGUUCCGAAAGGAGCGCUAAUACCGCAUAAGACCACGGAGUCUCCGGACGCUGUGGGAAAAGGUGGCCUCUUCUUGAAAGCUACCACCGAAGGAUGAGCCUGCGUCCCAUCAGCUAGUUGGUAAGGUAAUGGCUUACCAAGGCGAAGACGGGUAGCUGGUUGGAGAGAAUGAUCAGCCACACUGGCACUGGAACACGGGCCAGACUCCUACGGGAGGCAGCAGUGAGGAAUAUUGGGCAAUGGGCGAAAGCCUGACCCAGCCACGCCGCGUGAGUGAUGAAGGACCCUCGGGUCGUAAAGACUCUGUGGAGAGGGACGG
rnacentral:rRNA from 1 species